GGCGAGUGAAGCGGCAAAAGCUCAAAUUUGAAAUCCCCCCGGGGAGUUGUAAUUUGAAGAUUGCGUCUUGGAGGCGACCGUGUCUAUGUUCCUUGGAACAGGACGUCACAGAGGGUGAGAAUCCCGUGCGGCACGGCCCCCGGCUCCUUAUAAGGCGCUCUCGACGAGUCGAGUUGUUUGGGAAUGCAGCUCAAAGUGGGUGGUAAAUUCCAUCUAAAGCUAAAUACAGGCGAGAGACCGAUAGCGAACAAGUACAGUGAUGGAAAGAUGAAAAGCACUUUGAAAAGAGAGUGAAACAGCACGUGAAAUUGUUGAAAGGGAAGGGCAUGCCGUCAGAUUGUCAGUGUGGGUAAGAAGCGGGGUACAAAGACUGUGGAACGUGGCCCUCGGGUGUUAUAGCCGCAGUUCAUGCCCCGUCUCUUUCCGAGGCCUGCUUUGAGGACACCGACGUAAUGACGGUACGCCGCCCGUCUUGAACCC
rnacentral:rRNA from 1 species